AUACGGAGGGGGCUAACGUUAUUGGGAAUUACUGGGCGUAAAGCGCACGUAGGCGGCGUAUCAAGUUAGAGGUGAAAGCCCAGGGCUCAACCCUGGAAUUGCCUUUAAGACUGAUAUGCUUGAGUUCGGAAGAGGGUAGUGGAAUUCCAAGUGUAGAGGUGAAAUUCGUAGAUAUUUGGAAGAACACCAGUGGCGAAGGCGGCUACCUGGUCCGAUACUGACGCUGAGGUGCGAAAGCGUGGGGAGCAAACAGGAUUAGAAACCCCGGUAGUCC
rnacentral:rRNA from 1 species